UACGGGGGGAGCAAGCGUUGUUCGGAUUUACUGGGCGUAAAGGGCGCGUAGGCGGUGCUCUAAGUCGGAUGUGAAAACUCUGGGCUCAACCCAGAGCCUGCAUCCGAAACUGGAGUGCUAGAGUUCUGGAGGGGGUAGCGGAAUUCCUGGUGUAGCGGUGAAAUGCGUAGAUAUCUGGAGGAACACCGGUGGCGAAGGCGGAAUCCUGGACCGACACUGACACUGAGGAGCGAAAGCCAGGGGAGCAAACGGG
rnacentral:rRNA from 1 species